CCUACGGGCGGCAGCAGUGAGGAAUAUUGGUCAAUGGCCGAGAGGCUGAACCAGCCAAGUCGCGUGAGGGAAGACGGCCCUACGGGUUGUAAACCUCUUUUGUCGGGGAGCAAAGAGAGUCACGUGUGACUCCUUGAGAGUACCCGACAAAAAAGCAUCGGCUAACUUCGUGCCAGGCGCCGCGGUAAUGCGGAGGAUGCGAGCGUUAUCCGGAUGUAUUGGGUUAAAAGGGUGCGCAGGCGGAGGUGCAAGUCAGCGGUAAAAUUGCGGGGCUCAACCCCGUACUGCCGUUGAAACUGCAUCCCUUGAGUGCGCGAGAGGGAUGCGGAAUGCGUGGUGUAGCGGUGAAAUGCAUAGAUAUCACGCAGAACUCCGAUUGCGAAGGCAGCAUACCGGCGCGCAACUGACGCUCAUGCACGAAAGCGUGGGUAUCGAACAGGAUUAGAUACCCGAGUAGUC
rnacentral:rRNA from 1 species